rnacentral:lncRNA from 1 species
CGAAUGCUGAGGAACUCCAGCGGAAGCGGAAGCGGAAGCGCUCGAGUGUAAACAGACUCUGACACAACGCUGAGGAAGAUUUCACUUCACACACACACACAGUGCCACGGAGAGUUAUGAAGAUUUCAUCCGGAGACAUUAUAACACCGUCACCUUCAGCGGGGAUCGUGUUUCAUGCAGCUCGAGUUCUUCCUCCUCUGCUCACAGACGUGAGGAUCAGUGACGCUGAGCGACACACAGACAAGAGUGAUGACAUCACAGACCGUGACAUCACCUCGUCCGCUCCUCUGACGUCAACCGCUCAUGACGGCCGAUCGACCAAUCAGCUGCGAGCAUCUCCAGGGGACGAUUCGCUGGUUCUGUUUGAGAAACACGAGACCCACAGACCUCGGGACGCACCGGACAGUCGCUACGUGACCAAUGACGACACGGACGACACUGUCUGAUAAAGAGAACGAGGAGCUCCUUCCCAAACAGAUGUGGAGGACGGAGCUGAGGAAAGCCAGAGAGCAGAGGAAGGAGAAGGAAGGUGAGGAUCGCAUCAACACUGACCUCACAAACGCAGAGCUUCCUGUUACGGCCCGAUCUCUGUACGACUCCAAACAGAAGCGGCUCGCUGAGGAUUGUGGGGUCAUGGGGGACGAGAACGCCAGCAAUCGUUAAAGCUCUGCGAUUGGCUCGUCUUACGACGUGGACGUCCCGUCUGGCCUGUGGAAGCAGCUGACCCCUGAGACGGGAGGUCACGAGGUCACGUCUGGGAUCAAACGGAGGCUCCUGAUGAACGAGGACGAGGCGUUCGGUCCUGGACGAGGGACGGGGAGCACUCUCUCCAGCACACCCAGAGGUGAGAAAUUAGGGGCUAGAAGUUUCUAACAUUUGAAUGUUUUUCAGUGAUCGAAAAUCUAAUCGACAGUGUUGAGGUCAUUGUGUUAGGGAUGUGACGAUAUCAAAAUCUCACCAUACGGUAAUAUCACGAUGGGAAAUCCACGGUACGAUAUUUAUGGCGAUAUAACAAAAAAAAAAAGGAGAGAAAUGAAGAAUUGGAAAAAAAAUAAAAAACACCUUU